GACGAGUUCCCACAAGUUCUCCCGAGCUCUCCUUCUCCCCCCGCCCCAGGCCCCGGUGCUGAAACACCGCUAUCUGCCUGGCAUUCCUCGGAUACCGAAACCAGCCGGGCUAACACAUCACCUGGCUGCAGUCAGCACAUAUGGGGGCGGAGCUGCGAGCAGGAGGCAGAGAGACGGUUUUUUUUAUCAGCUCGCUGGAGGCGGGGCAGGACACUCUGACGAAACAGAUCCUUCCUCGGCUUUACCUGCAGGAAAUGGUAGAGACCCAAACAGUUUGCGUCCUUGUCACAGAUCCAUAGACGAUCCCAGGGAGUACUUUCGGCUCACCCUGCGCUCCACUUGCACACCUGAGAGGACAAAAG